UACAGAGGUCUCAAGCGUUGUUCGGAUUCAUUGGGCGUAAAGGGUGCGUAGGCGGCGCGGUAAGUCGGGUGUGAAAUUUCGAGGCUUAACUUCGAAACUGCAUUCGAUACUGCCGUGCUUGAGGACUGGAGAGGAGACUGGAAUUUACGGUGUAGCGGUGAAAUGCGUAGAUAUCGUGAGGAACACCAGUGGCGAAGGCGGUUGCCUGGGGCUGUGCUGACGCUGAUGCGCGAAAGCGUGGGGAGCUAUCCGG
rnacentral:rRNA from 1 species